UACGAAGGGGGCUAGCGUUGCUCGGAAUUACUGGGCGUAAAGGGCGCGUAGGCGGGUGUUUAAGUCAGAGGUCAAAUCCCAGGGCUCAACCCUGGAACUGCCUUUGAUACUGGGCACCUAGAGUUCGGGAGAGGUGUGUGGAACUCCGAGUGUAGAGGUGAAAUUCGUAGAUAUUCGGAAGAACACCAGUGGCGAAGGCGACACACUGGCCCGUUACUGACGCUGAGGCGCGAAAGCGUGGGGAGCAAACAGG
rnacentral:rRNA from 1 species